CAAUCUCUUCACGUUCAUCCGCCCUGGAAGUAAUAAGCAACUCAAAGAAAACAGGGACUUUACAGCUUUCAGGCAUGGAUCCCAGUUUCGAAAGAAUUUGUUCUUUGAGCACCCUAAUGAUGGGAGUUGGUCAGCUAACUAUGGUACAAGAUACUGCUAUCUCAAUAUUAUUAGGUUGGUUAAGAACCUGAUAAACCAUGGAGGAUUUGCAUGAUAAGAACAAUAUGCUCAUAGAGAUCAGAACUCGAUUCCAACAUUUUAUGAGUGUUUGCUACACCGUCAUAAACAUGACGGAUGAUUGGAUUCAUGAUUGGACGACCUAUCCAUAUCCAUAGAUGAUGUGAGAUCAGGAAGAGGAAGUUGCUCGACCUCAACAACUGGAGGUUCUUUGAGUAUGGAUGUGAGAUCGACGGCAAUGUCUAGAGCCAUUGGGUUGGUCUCUUUGGUACUUGUGCAUCUUCGCUGAGUACCGCUCAUCAGCGCUGCGUCGCUUGUAUCGGCUCUAUGUGACCAUGUAUCGAACCUACACCUCUAGUUUCUGGCUUUAUUCUAGCGCUCAGUCGCAUGUGUUUUGGUCCCUCGGACCUUGUAUCUUUCAUUCGGAAUCUUGUGAUAACUUAAGGGCCUCAUUUUAAGGUCGGGGACAGCCUACUUUCUAAAAGUAUGGAUUGUUCUUUAGGAAUAUUAUAACUGUUGA